rnacentral:rRNA from 1 species
GGGGGCAUAAUACUUUGACUCCUCCCCCCCUUCCCCCCGAUUUGACCCCGGAAGCCUCCUAUGAGUCCCCGGCAUUAUCCGCUGGAGUUUGAUCCUGGCUCAGGAUUAACGUUGGCGGCGUGCCUAAUACAUGCAAGUUGAACGGAAGUUUAAGCAAUUAAACUUUAGUGGCGAACGGGUGAGUAACGCGUAAGCAAUCUGCCCCUAAGACGAGGAUAACAGUUGGAAACGACUGCUAAGACUGGAUAGGAGACAAGAAGGCAUCUUCUUGUUUUUAAAAGACCUAGCAAUAGGUAUGCUUAGGGAGGAGCUUGCGUCACAUUAGUUAGUUGGUGGGGUAAAGGCCUACCAAGACUAUGAUGUGUAGCCGGGCUGAGAGGUUGAACGGCCACAUUGGGACUGAGACACGGCCCAAACUCCUACGGGAGGCAGCAGUAGGGAAUUUUCGGCAAUGGAGGAAACUCUGACCGAGCAACGCCGCGUGAACGAUGAAGUAUUUCGGUACGUAAAGUUCUUUUAUUAGGGAAGAAUAAAUGAUGGAAAAAUCAUUCUGACGGUACCUAAUGAAUAAGCCCCGGCUAACUAUGUGCCAGCAGCCGCGGUAAUACAUAGGGGGCAAGCGUUAUCCGGAAUUAUUGGGCGUAAAGGGUGCGUAGGCGGUUAAAUAAGUUUAUGGUCUAAGUGCAAUGCUCAACAUUGUGAUGCUAUAAAAACUGUUUAGCUAGAGUAAGAUAGAGGCAAGUGGAAUUCCAUGUGUAGUGGUAAAAUGCGUAAAUAUAUGGAGGAACACCAGUAGCGAAGGCGGCUUGCUGGGUCUUUACUGACGCUGAGGCACGAAAGCGUGGGGAGCAAACAGGAUUAGAUACCCUGGUAGUCCACGCCGUAAACGAUGAGUACUAAACGUUGGGUAAAACCAGUGUUGAAGUUAACACAUUAAGUACUCCGCCUGAGUAGUACGUACGCAAGUAUGAAACUUAAAGGAAUUGACGGGACUCCGCACAAGCGGUGGAUCAUGUUGUUUAAUUCGAAGGUACCCGAAAAACCUCACCAGGUCUUGACAUGCUUCUGCAAAGCUGUAGAAACACAGUGGAGGUUAUCAGUUGCACAGGUGGUGCAUGGUUGUCGUCAGCUCGUGUCGUGAGAUGUUGGGUUAAGUCCCGCAACGAGCGCAACCCUUAUUGUUAGUUACCAGCACGUAAUGGUGGGGACUUUAGCAAGACUGCCAGUGAUAAAUUGGAGGAAGGUGGGGACGACGUCAAAUCAUCAUGCCCCUUAUGACCUGGGCUACAAACGUGAUACAAUGGCUGUUACAAAGGGUAGCUGAAGCGCAAGUUUUUGGCGAAUCUCAAAAAAACAGUCUCAGUUCGGAUUGAAGUCUGCAACUCGACUUCAUGAAGUUGGAAUCGCUAGUAAUCGCGAAUCAGCAUGUCGCGGUGAAUACGUUCUCGGGGUUUGUACACACCGCCCGUCAAACCACGAAAGUU